GCUCUAAUAGCGUAUAUUAAAGUUGUUGCAGUUAAAAAGCUCGUAGUUAAUGUUUGGGGUGAGCGAUGGAAACGUCGCGGCCCCGCGAUUCGAAAGAAUCCUUACUUUGAGAAAAUUAGAGUGUUCAUAGCAGGCUUUUGCCUAUAUCCAUCAGCAUGGAAUAAAUUUAGACGACGCUGUCUAAACUUGGUCUUUAGCAC
rnacentral:rRNA from 1 species